rnacentral:rRNA from 1 species
GGACGGGUGAGUAACACGUGGAUAACCUACCUAUAAGACUGGGAUAACUUCGGGAAACCGGAGCUAAUACCGGAUAAUAUAUUGAACCGCAUGGUUCAAUAGUGAAAGACGGUUUUGCUGUCACUUAUAGAUUGAUCCGCGCCGCAUUAGCUAGUUGGUAAGGUAACGGCUUACCAAGGCAACGAUGCGUAGCCGACCUGAGAGGGUGAUCGGCCACACUGGAACUGAGACACGGUCCAG